rnacentral:rRNA from 1 species
UACGAAGGGGGCUAGCGUUGCUCGGAAUCACUGGGCGUAAAGCGUGCGCAGGCGGUUUUGUAAGCCAGAUGUGAAAGCCCCGGGCUCAACCUGGGAAUGGCAUUUGGGACUGCAAGGCUUGAGUGCGGCAGAGGAGACUGGAAUUCCUGGUGUAGCAGUGAAAUGCGUAGAUAUCAGGAGGAAUACCGAUGGCGAAGGCAGGUCUCUGGGCUGACACUGACGCUCAUGCACGAAAGCGUGGGGAGCAAACAGG